UUAUCAUGGCCUCGAGUGAAAACACCACUGACUCCUUAGUAAGAAAGGGGCUUUUCUGAGCAGCUGUCUUGCCGCAGGACGCCAUGAGGAAGCACGGGCUGAGUGGGACCCGGCCUCCCUGGCUCUGGCACGGCAAGUCAGCGGAGGCAAAGCCCGCCCCCUGGGGGAGCCGAGGGCCUGGGGUCUUGCCGGGUGCUGUGCCCGCGUGGACACCGAGGUCCUGGGUCGAGAGCGAAGCCAGGCUAGGCCAAGCUGAGAGACAAUGUAAAUAUUAAAAGGGAAACAGCCCUAAACCAUCAAGAUGAAUCACUUGCUUGCCAAAUUCUUAACCUUGUGCACCUCCUGGGAGAGAUGGCCAGGAGGCUGUUGGAUCCGUGCAGAAGAGAAGACGGGGGCGGGAGAGUCGUUCCCAGCGAUUCCUCCGGAGCUGUUCGGAGUGGAAAUCUUUUCACCUUUGCACUUAGAAUAAAGCAGCCCAGCAUUCACAA